AAACUAGUACAUGUGACUUCCAAUCACCUGGUCUUGGUUAAAAUCCAAGGAAAGAUA
rnacentral:tRNA from 1 species